ACUCCUUAACAAAGCUCCCAUUCAAUGGAGUUUGCUUUCUGUAUAUAACACCAAAAAAUGGUCUAUUCCUUGAUCAUCUUACCUCAAGUCCAUGCUACUCAAUAAAAACACCUUUACUCUAUUCAAAAGGAAUAUAAAGAAUGGGCACAGAAGAUUUCACUGAAUACAAAUGUACUGGAUAUAGAAACCGAUUCCAUAUCAUCUUAUUGUCAUGUUGUCAGAUGUGAGAUUACUUGUGUAAAAUGGUUGAAUGGAACUUGAUCAUGUACCAGUAUAUAGCUAUGGUCAAUGUGAAUAAUGGUGGCAGCAUGCCUGGUAGCUGGACCAAAAUCUGUUGCAGCUUCUGUCCGUCGUGCCAUUCCCUGACGGAACUGAGCAUGACCAUCUGAGGCGUCUCUCAGCACAGCUACACCGCAGUUCUGAAAAAGGAGGGACACAAAAAUAUCCAAAAUGGCAUCCAAAACAAGGGCCACCAGAUUUGGCUGCAAUCCUUUGACCUUCUACAACCAAGGACUCUGAUCCCUCAGCCCUGAUGGAAGGCCGGAUCCGUCCAACCACUUCCACAUUCAUCUUAGUCCCUACCUAAAUAUAUAUUAUUAUAA